GCGUGCUGGGGCUAGCAGAGCAGAUGCACAAAAAACUUUUUUCACAAGCAGGUUUCCAGAUACUGACGGGUGGGAAAACUGUUCACACCCUAUGUAGAUGGCAUUAUCAUUGUGGUGCAAAAGCAACACGGUUUAGAAAACCAAUUACAGGUGAAUUUAAACGGUGGGAUUCAUCGUCUUCAAUCGGAGUAAUGAUAGGGGAUCCCCAGCUGUGUUCACACAUCGACUUCUCCUGGAUUUCUAGGGACUUCAUAGUAGGAGGGGGAGGAGCUGAGGAGGGCCUGGAGGGGACUCUGGGUUUGAGGCUGGACCCAGAUGAGCAGUCAGGCAGAGGGAUGGAGAAAACUCUCUGGACCACCACCUCCACAUCCUGCCCCACGGAGCCAGCCUGGCCCAGUCUCUCAACAGCUUCCAGGAGAGAAAGGCACUGCCCCGGAAAUUCCCCAGGACCUUCAAAACUGCACAGAGGAUCAGGGACGGCGACCUGAAGGAGAAAAACAGAAAAUUAAAUAAUAUUUAACAAUAAUUUGAAUAUCGCCUUUGAAAGUAUUGGUUAGAAGUCAAACAAACAAAAGCUGCACCAGAACAUCCCUGCCACUGAAACCACAGAGAUACUCUAUUCACUUAUUUCCAUUAGCACUAAUGCAAACAUUGUAAUAUUAGCUUAUACUUUCUCUCUGCGCAACAUAAUGUAUAAGCACACAGUCCGAGUCACACUAUCAGUGUAAACAACACGGCGAUAUGUAUCUGUUCCAAUGGCAACAAAGGCUAGAGUAUAAAGAAACCAUUCUUUUUUUUGCAUUUGAAAUCUGUUGUAAAAUUAGGGUGUGGCAGGUUGUACCAUAUGUUUCAGAAGUCUUUCUCUAUCACAACCACAAUCGCUUUGUUCAUGUGUUUGUAUUUUACUGCAAACAGAGAUUUAGAUGUAGGAAAUCAAUCAACCACAUAUGUUAUUGAUACAGCAGAGACUUAAAGCCCUGGAAACUGAUGUCCCAGAGACUCUUCAUUGUUCUUGUGUUGAUUAUUGGAAAGUGAAACUGAUCAACUCUGCUCUGCAGUGAGAUUUAAUAGCUAUGAAUUUAUAAGGAAAGUGAAACAAGCCCCCCCGAGUGUGCAACGAUUCAAUAUGGCUUUUAUAGAAAGAAACAGCUGAACCAGAGUAGAGACUUUUCUUAUGGCCAGAAGCCAAACUACCAAGCAAACAACACACUGAAGCUGUCAUCACAUCAGUUGGUGUGUGUGCAGGUGCUUAUUUGUUGGAGUGAUGUUAUUUCACAGCAGUGACUGACAGGCGUUAGGCGGGCGUGACAGAUUUAAAAAAGGUUUGUUUAAUGUCAAAAUGCUGCAGGGAAAUUUUGAAUAAAAAAUGUAGAAGAG